rnacentral:rRNA from 1 species
UACGUAGGGGCCUAGCGUUGUCCGGAAUUAUUGGGCGUAAAGGGCGCGUAGGCGGCCUGGCAAGUGGAUGGUGAAAUCCCUCGGCUUAACCGAGGAACUGCCAUCCAGACUGCUUGGCUUGAGACCGGGAGAGGUGAGUGGAAUUCCCAGUGUAGCGGUGAAAUGCGUAGAUAUUGGGAGGAACACCAGUGGCGAAGGCGGCUCACUGGACCGGUACUGACGCUGAGGCGCGAAAGCGUGGGGAGCAAACGGG